rnacentral:rRNA from 1 species
UGCAAGUCGAACGAUGAAGCUGGUGCUUGNCUGNUGGAUUAGUGGGGAACGGGUGAGUAACACGUGAGUAACCUGCCCCUGACUCUGGGAUAACUGCUGGAAACGGUAGCUAAUACUGGAUAUGAACCGUACGGGCAUCUGUUGCGGUUGGAAAAAUUUUUCGGUGUGGGAUAAGCUCUCGGCCUAUCANCUUGUUGGUGGGGGAAUGNCCUACCAAGGCGUCUACAGGUAGCCGGCCUGAGAGGGUGGACAGCCACAUUGNGACUGAGACACGGCCCACACUCCUACNGGAGGCANCACUGGGGAAUAUUGCACAAUGGGCGCAAGCCUGAUGCACCGACACCCCGUGGGGGAUAACAGCCUUCUGGUUGUAAACUCCUUUCUACCNUGACAAAACUUUUGUGACAGUAGUGGUAGAAAAAGCACCGGNUAACUAC